AGUUAGUCUUUGUUGUAAAGGACCCCCUCUACUUUAACAUGGAAGUACUUGCUGGAUGCUUGAAAAAGUAAGUGCUUCCAUGUUUUAGUUGUGGUGAAUCCUAAUUGCUCAUUUACAGAUC
rnacentral:pre_miRNA from 15 species